AUGAAGAAACAAAACUCCACCCUUACCCAUUUCCAUCUCGUCAUUUCUAAAACCCAAAAAUAAGAACCCCAACCCAUAACUCCUUCUCCCUCCCCGUGUUUCCUCUCACAUUGUAACUCCUUCCUCCCUAAAACCCUCGUCUCUCUCUCGCACAUCUCCUCCUCUUUCAGUCCGCCGGAAUUUCCUACCCCCUUGCUGCUCGUCGGAGCUUGCUCUUCGCUCGCUAGCGCUGCAGUUGUUCGAGUUCUCUCCCUCCUCCCUCAAAAGUCUCUCUUUAUCUCCUCGUCAAUCUCUGGCUGUUCGCGGCCGAUGUUGCCGCGGUUGUUGUUGUUGCUCGCCGGUGAAAGGUUUGAUUGAAGUUGAAGAUUGGAAGAGAAGAUUGUGGUGGAGCGAAGUGGUCGGAAUUUUCACAGACCCAGCACGAAACCCCAUCUUCGGAAUUUUUGGAAUUUUCGUAGACCCAUCUUCUCUAUUAAUGCCAGUGUUUUCUUCUUCACUCGGUGUUGGUUAUCAACGACAAGUUUGGCAUUGUUGAGAGUCUUCCUGUCAGACUUGAGAAGGGUGCUAGCUAUGAUGACAUUAAGGUUGCCAUCAAUAUCCUAAAUGUUUCAGGUUGAUGUCGUAAGUUAAUCUUUUGCAAGUUGAAACUAAUAUGAGCUGGGCAAUGUUAUAGUCGUUAUUGAAGUGAGGACGCUCGACGUUGUAAUAGUUAGCAAUUAAAUUAGUAAUAACAUAGAUCUGUAUUUAAGAGUCGCUAGCUAGUGCUCUUGAUUCUUUGUUGGUUGUUGCUCCGCUAGAAUGUUGAGGUUUUUGAGUUUGGAUUUUAUAAAUUGAAAUUGUAAACAGGUUUAAAUUAUUUCCCGCUUUAGGGUUGUCCUAUUUCCAAAAG